rnacentral:rRNA from 1 species
UACGGAGGGAGCUAGCGUUGUUCGGAAUUACUGGGCGUAAAGCGCACGUAGGCGGCUAUUCAAGUCGGGGGGUGAAAGCCCGGGGGCUCAACCCCGGAACUGCCCUCGAAACUAGAUAGCUAGAAUCUUGGAGAGGUCAGUGGAAUUCCGAGUGUAGAGGUGAAAUUCGUAGAUAUUCGGGAAGAACACCAGUGGCGAAGGCGACUGACUGGACAAGUAUUGACGCUAAGGUGCGAAAGCGUGGGGAGCAAACAGG